GCGGGAAUAGCUCAGUGGUAGAGCAUCACCUUGCCAAGGUGAGGGUCGCGGGUUCAAGCCCCGUUUCCCGCUCCA
rnacentral:tRNA from 1 species